rnacentral:rRNA from 1 species
AUGCGGCGCGGUCGAAGAAGGGCAAAACUUCGGCGAAGAAAAACAAGGCGGCGGACGGCUCCGGCGGCACGAAGGCGAGGGGAAAGAAGCUUGCAGGGCGUUCGACGGCCGCGGCGGCUACCGAAGCGCCAGCGAGCUCACUCGUUGAGCCGGCCGCCGACGCGCACCACGUAUUCGACGAAAUGCCCCCAAGGUGAAAAAAAACUCCAACUUUUAUUUUCUUCUUGUUUUUUCAGUGCAUCAUCACAUAUAGAUAGCUUAUUUGCAUUGUUCAAAAAAAAUUGUAGUCUCAAUGAUGAUGCAUACAUGUCAACUAUGGGUGUUGGGUCCAACAAUUCGCAUUGGUCUCAAACCAAUGACAUUCAUUUGGAAGACCAUGAGUUUGAGGUGGACGAGGAGGGUGAGGGCAUUGUCGACGCGUCGAAAGGAAGAGCGGGCAAUUACAACACCAACGAUGACAAGUUACUAUGCAAUACUUAUUUGCAAGUGUCGAGGGAUCCAUCCAUUGGAGGUGAUCAAAGUAGAUAUGCGUAUUGGGGGCGAAUGAAAGAAUACUUUCAUGAUCACAACAUGAGUGGAAUUGACCGCUCCGAGAGAUCACUUCGGUCCCGGUGGUCCACAAUCAAUUUGGAUUGUCAAAAGUGGGCGGCCGCACAAAAGGUAGUUGACAAGAUUAACCCAAGUCGCACAAAUGAGGAUGAUAGAGUAAGUGGCAUCUCAUAUAUGUUCAUCUCAUACUUGUUUUUGGUGUCCGAAGUGCUAACUUGUUUUGUUUUUCUUGUAGUUCAACAUUGCACAAAACUUGUUCAAAGAAGAGACGAGGACAACCAAGAAGGGGAAAAUCAAGAAAGGAAGGGUCUUUACCUUGUCUCAUUGCUAUGA